rnacentral:rRNA from 1 species
CCUACGGGAGGCUGCAGUGGGGAAUAUUGGACAAUGGGGGCAACCCUGAUCCAGCCAUGCCGCGUGUGUGAAGAAGGCCCUCGGGUUGUAAAGCACUUUCAGUGAGGAAGAACGCCUGGUGGUUAAUACCCAUCAGGAAAGACAUCACUCACAGAAGAAGCACCGGCUAACUCCGUGCCAGCAGCCGCGGUAAAACGGAGGGUGCGAGCGUUAAUCGGAAUUACUGGGCGUAAAGCGCGCGUAGGUGGCUUGAUAAGCCGGUUGUGAAAGCCCCGGGCUCAACCUGGGAACGGCAUCCGGAACUGUCAAGCUAGAGUGCAGGAGAGGAAGGUAGAAUUCCCGGUGUAGCGGUGAAAUGCGUAGAGAUCGGGAGGAAUACCAGUGGCGAAGGCGGCCUUCUGGACUGACACUGACACUGAGGUGCGAAAGCGUGGGUAGCAAACAGGAUUAGAUACCCUAGUAGUC